rnacentral:rRNA from 1 species
AGAGUUUGAUCCUGGCUCAGGAUUAACGCUAGCGGCAGGCCUAAUACAUGCAAGUCGAACGGCAGCGGGUGUAGCAAUACAUGCCGGCGAGUGGCGCACGGGUGCGUAACGCGUAUGCAACUUACCUAUAACUGGGGAAUAGCUCUCGGAAACGGGAAUUAAUACCGCAUAAUAUCACGAUUUGGCAUCAUUUUGUGGUCAAAACUCCGGUGGUUAUAGAUAGGCAUGCGUGACAUUAGCUAGUUGGUGAGGUAACGGCUCACCAAGGCUACGAUGUCUAGGGGGUCUGAGAGGAUGAUCCCCCACACUGAUACUGAGACACGGACCAGACUCCUACGGGAGGCAGCAGUAAGGAAUAUUGGACAAUGGCCGCAAGGCUGAUCCAGCCAUGCCGCGUGCAGGAUGAAGGUGCUCUGCAUUGUAAACUGCUUUUGUUCGGGAAUAAACCCCUCUACGUGUAGAUGGCUGAAUGUACCGAAAGAAUAAGGGUCGGCUAACUUCGUGCCAGCAGCCGCGGUAAUACGAAGGACCCAAGCGUUAUCCGGAUUUAUUGGGUUUAAAGGGUGCGUAGGCGGGUUAUUAAGUCAGUGGUGAAAGCCUACAGCUUAACUGUAGAAUUGCCAUUGAUACUGAUGAUCUUGAGUAUGAUUGAGGUGGGCGGAAUGUGUCAUGUAGCGGUGAAAUGCUUAGAUAUGACACAGAACACCGAUUGCGAAGGCAGCUCACUAAGUCAUAACUGACGCUGAGGCACGAAAGCGUGGGGAGCAAACAGGAUUAGAUACCCUGGUAGUCCACGCCCUAAACGAUGAUCACUCGAUGUGUGCGAUACACUGUACGCGUCUGAGCGGAGGCAUUAAGUGAUCCACCUGGGGAGUACGACCGCAAGGUUGAAACUCAAAGGAAUUGACGG